rnacentral:tRNA from 1 species
GCCGUCAUGGUGGAACUGGUAUACACACUUGCCCAAGGAGCAAGCGCGAAAGCAUGUGGGUUCGAAUCCCACUAACGGCA